rnacentral:rRNA from 1 species
GACACUGACGUCGCGACGCAUAUCAAUAAGCGGAGGAAAAGAAACUAACAAGGAUUCCCUUAGUAACGGCGAGUGAAGCGGGAAGAGCUCAAAUUUGAAAUCUUCAAGGUUCUACCUUGACGAAUUGUAGUUUAAAGAAGUGUUUUCUGUUGAAGUGAUUGGCUAAAAGUUCUUUGGAAUAGGACAUCAUAGAGGGUGAGAAUCCCGUAUUUGGUACAUAUCCUUCUAGCUGUGUGAUACACUUUCAAAGAGUCGGAUUGUUUGGGAAUGCAGUCCAAAAUGGGUGGUAAAUUUCAUCUAAAGCUAAAUAUUGGCGAGAGACCGAUAGCGAACAAGUACCGUGAGGGAAAGAUGAAAAGAACUUUGAAAAGAGAGUUAAACAGUACGUGAAAUUGUCAAAAGGGAAGCGUUUGACACCAGUGUUGUUUUUCCGAAAAUCAAUUAUAAAUGUUUUGUUUCUGAGGAGUGAUGACUUCAUCGGCUUCCUUCUCUCUUCACGAAACUUUUGUAAUGCACUUUUCGGUUAACAAGUCAACAUCAGUUUCUUUUGUUGUAAAAGAGUAUUCGGAAGGUGGCUUUCUUUUCGGAGAAAGUGUUUAUAGCCCUAUACUUCUACAAUCGGAGAGAUUGAGGUCUGCAGCGUAGAUCCUUCGGGGUUAGAUACACUUGUGCUAAGUUAUAGCUUUUCAUAGACAACUUGUUGACUAUGUUUAGUCUUGUAGCUUACUCGCUUGUGCUAUUUUACCUACGCUUAGGAUGUUGAGUCGUAGAGCACGCAG